ensembl:lncRNA
CUUCUCUCUCACACACACACACACACACACUCUUCUCUAUCUCUCUCUUUCUCUCUCACACACACACACACACACACACUAAAACCCCUGAAAGAGGACUGUUUUGCAGAGCUUCUUUCUCGUGCUCCCUUUCUGUAGUUCAAGAGAGGCGAGUUUGGCAACAUGGUGGAGCCUUAUCUUUACAAACACGGACACAACCAAUGACAACAAAUCAGAUUGAUGGUUGUCAAUGCCAAACUGGGUCUCCUCAAUGUGAUCCCCAAGAAGGAAAACAUCCUCUGUCCCAAUCUCCUCCCGCACAAUGUGUGUGACUGUUGACAGCUUAGGAGCUUGUAUUGCUGAAGCUUGGCGGAUCACCCUCUCUGCAGCUCUCAGCACCUUAUAAUAAUAAUAAAAAUAAUACAUAUUUAUAUAGCGCUUUACACAAUACUCAAAUACACUUUACAGAACAGAGAAAAUAAGAACAAAGCAACCUUAAUAUACAAAGAUUAAAAGAUUUAAAAAAAUAAGAUAACAAUCACACCUUCACUGUGCCUUGUGAUGGAAUCACUAGGCCUCCGUUGUUUUUCAGGGCUAGAAGGUGGUAGCUCUUGUCAAAUGAUGCUGGUCUAGCAUCUCUGACCAAGCUUGCACGGCACACAUCACAGGACAGCUUUCGAAGAAUCUGCCGGACUACAAACCCUGCUAUGUAGACCAGAGCAUUUUCCACCAGACCACCAAACCGAGUGGGGAGAUAACUGUGGUCACACACAAGGGCUGAAAUGUUGGCGAAUGGAGAUGGGUGCUCUUCAGCAGUUUCAGCAGAGGACAUCUCCACAGCAGACAGGGACACAGUUGAUAAUUUUGUCUUACCAGAGUAGAAUUCAAGCUUCUCUUUGAGCUCUUCAUUAAUGAGGUUCUUUUCCCUCAAAUCCCCCAAAAGACUCUUCACUGUGGUUUUUGCCCUCUUUUCUCUGGCCAUGGAAUUCUUCUUCUCUCGCUCUAGACGUUCCACUCUUGCCAAGGCUUCAUUGAGUCUGGUCUUAAGAGCGGUAGGAGAAGCAGGCAAGGCAUAGCCAUGAUC